rnacentral:lncRNA from 1 species
AACUGAGUGAGAUUAGUGGCUAUGGACUAUUUACAGUCUAUGAUUAAAUUGAACUAUUAUAGUCCUUAGCUUUGCAGAUUCUUUGAUUAUUCAGACUUGGUAGGAAACUUGGACCAAAUUCCAGAUGUAGAUGACCAGCAGCAGAUGGGAUUGUCAGAUAGCCACCUUCUGGCCAGGGGUUCCAGUCUGUCUCAUACAGCAGGUUUCAGCUGCCUCUGGAUAGCAGCCUUGCAGUCUUUGGCCGUGGUGCAUCCCUCGCCUACAAGCAAUGGGGCAGGGAACCUACCAAACUAGACUGUUCUGUGGGUAGGAAGAAUUACUGUGGAUCAGACUGCCAAGGUCAUUCUGGGGGUGAGGGAUCAGAGAGAGAAGAAUAAAAUGCUGAAGAGCAAGUGGGUUUUCUAUGACAGUGGGCCGGGACGGUGCAGGCUGUUGGGAAUAAGCAGGAACUAAGUGCCCUUGCUGAGGUUGUUAGCCUUUGGGAAAGGUUAAGGGGAUUUCUGGAGGAUUAGGAGUGGUUCCUGACAAACAGAAGCCUGAUUUAGGAGAUUUGCUUUUCUGGUAAACGGAAGUGCUCCUUCAGGAGGCCUGUUUUACCCAACAACUGAUCCUUUCAUAACACACAGUGCACUUUUUACAGAAUAUCAGUUUCUUGUAUGACUCAGACUAUCCAAAUACCUAAAGCUAUUUUCAGGAGGACCUCUGUGAGUUAGAGGCCAGCCUGCUCUACAGAGUGAGCUCUAGGACAGCCAGAACAACACAAAGAGACCCUGGGCCAAAAACGAACAAACGAAACCUCAAUCUCUCUUUAAAACUCCAAAGUCUCUCAACUGUGGGCUCCUGUAAAAUAAGAAAUAAGUUACAUACUGCCUUACUCCAAGAGUCAAGAAACCAGGCACAGUCACAAGUCAAAGCAAAAGCCAACAGUGUGAAAAGUUCCGUGCUUGACAUCUGGAACCCACUGUCCAUCCUCUGGGCAGCUCUGUUUAUCUGGCUCCCCCAUCUGCAGCACAUAUAUCUCAUCUAUAAGCUCAGGUCAGCUCCACUUCACAGCUGCUGCUGUCCUUAGUGGUCAUCCCAUAGUCCUGAAGCUUUAAAUAUGCUCCAUAGCCUACACUUACCAAUGGCUUCUUGGCCGAGGCUUCAGUGACUCUGCCUCUAUCACAUGAUGAUGACAUGUUUCAGCUGUUUUCCAUGACCCAUUCAUGUCUUCUAAGCCAAUCCCAUGUGAAAGACUCUUUUUUUUAAAAAAGAUUUAUUUAUUUUAUGUAUAUAAGUACACUGUAGCUGUACAGAAGGUUGUGAGCCUUCAUCUGCUGUUGGGAAUUGAAUUUAGGACUUCUGCUUGCUCUGGUCAACCCUGCUCGUUCCAGUCAGCCCUGCUCACUGGUCAACCUUACUCAUGCCCAAAGAUUUAUUUAUUAUUAUAAAUAAGUACACUGUAGCUGUCUUCAGGCGUACCCAGAAGAGGAUGUCAGAUCUCAUUACGGGUGGUUGUGAGCCACCAUGUGGUUGCUGGGAUUUGAACUUAGGACUUUCAGAAGCACAGUACUCUUACCCAUUGAGCCAUCUCUCCAGCCCGUGAAAGACUCCUAUAGAUAACCAAGUACAACUACUAUUGUGAGAUGCCGCCUUAGCCACCUCUGGACCUCAGCUUUGUGUACUGACCCUGAGGAAAGACUUCCCAGAUCUCACCUCAAUGAUGCUGGUCCCCUAAUCACAGCUGAUUUUUCAACCCCAGAAAACAGUCAUUGACUGUCCCAGCAAAGCAAAGGUUUCACUUCUGUGUUUGGUCUCUCCUUUAACAUGGUUGAUUCUACAGCCCAAGCUGACUGGAACCAGAUUCUUAGCUCAAAAUAUCAGACAAAUGGUAGAGCCUUUAAGGGACUGUCAAACUUCCCUCUGAAACUUCAGGAGCCAGGCGUGUAUUGUCUACACUGCUCUCAGCAUUUUUUCUGAAGCCCCCACCACAGCUCUGAACACUUUUCUAGCACCAGACUCUCAAAAUCCUUCAUAACCCUCCCAUAAGAGCAUGGUUAGGUCUGUCACAGCAAUAGUCUACUUUUGAAUACCAAUUUCUGUCCUAGGUUACAUUCUAUUACUGAAGUUAAAAGCCCAUGACUGUGGUGGUUUGAAUAUGCUUGGCCCAUAGGGAGUGGUACUGUUAGGAGGUGUGGCCUUGUUGGAAGAAGUGUGUUACUGUGGGGAGUGGGCUCUGGAGGUUGCCUCCUAUGCUUAGGCUCUACCCAUUGCAGAUGAGAGCUUCCUCCUAACUGCCUGAAAAAGACAGUCUCUCCUGGUUGCCUUUGAAUCAAGAUGCAGAACUCUCAGCUCCUCCAGUACCACAUGUCUGCCUGCUGCCAUGCUUCCUGCUAUGAUGAUAAUGGACUAAACCUCUGAAACUAUAAGCCAGCCCCAAUUAAAACACACACACACACACACACACACACACACCACCACCACCAAUAACAACAACAACACCCCACAAGUUUGUCUGUCGGCCAAUCUGAUAGAGGCAUUUUCUCAGUCCCUUUUCCCAGAUGUUCCAGCUUGUGUCAAGUUGAUAAACAAAAACACGAGCCAUGCAUAUUAGCAUGUUAUAUAUUAUACAUUUUUAAAGUUUUUUUUAAAACUGUUUUACAUUUUAUUGAUUUCAGUGUGUGUGUGUGUGUGCACCACAGACCAUGUGUGUGUGUGUGUGUGUGUGUGUGUGUGUGCACCACAGACCAUAUAUGAAGGCCAGAGGGCAACUUGGAGAAAUUCACUCUCUGUCAACAUGUGGGUCCCAGAAUCAAACCCAGGUGUCCAGGCCUGGUGUCAGACACACUUAUCCAUUGAGCCAUCUCACUGGUCCAUUAAUUAUUUUUCACAGAGUCUAACUCUAAUGUCCAGCUGGCUUCAAACUUGAGGCCAUUCUCCUGCCUCAGCCUCCUGAGUGCUCAGAUUACAGGUGAGAAUUACCACACUUAUAAUCUUACAAUUUUAAAAAGAACCUAUAUGUUUUUAGAUUAAAAUAAAUGUUGGGGUUAAAAACAGGAUAGAAUUCAGAGGGGGAAAAAUAUAUAUAUAUAUAUUCCCAUGAAAUGUAUUCCUAGGAUAGGGAGUGUGUUUUAAGAUGGAAAUAGUUAAGAGAAAUACACUUGAUCUCUCUCUCUCUCUCUCUUUUUUUUUUUUUUUGGUUUUUUGAGACAGGGUUUCUCUGUAUAGCCCUGGCUGUCCUGGAACUCACUCUGUAGACCAGACUGGCCUCGAACUCAGAAAUCCGCCUGCCUCUGCCUCCCGAGUGCUGGGAUUAAAGGCAUGUACCACCAUGCCCGGCUUUAGAAACUUCUAACAAGGAUGUUCACAUUGCCUGGAAAAUGGGAGGAAGAAUAUCAUGAUACUAUUGGCAGUGCUCACCCAAGGGUGUAAUUCUCUCUUCAGUGAGCACGGUUGGGAGAGUGUCACCCUCUUUCAUCAAUGCCCUUUCCUUGAUGGGCCAUUUAUCUCUACGUUUAAGUUGUUUGUUUAAGCCAUCUCUUACCACACUGCACAAGCAAAGACCUGGACGGUCAAUAUAAAGUUAUCUGGUACAUGAAAAGUGAGAAAAAUGUCCCAUACUCUUUCCGGGCUCAUCUUGCAAAGUAAUAAGCCAAAGCAAGCUGUGUCUCCUCAGGCCUGGGUGAUGGUCAAAGGGCUGUUUACCCAUCUUGUUAACCAGUCAAAGCAAAUUCUCACUAAGUAUAUAGAAGAAUGCAUGCUUACCAUCUCCCCUAGGAAGAUACAGAGAAGUGGUAAGUAACUGUGCCAGUGGGUUUGUAAACUCAAUACAAACCUAGACUUAACUGGGAAGAGGCCUCCACUUGUGACUUGUAGGCAAGCCUGUGGGUAUUGUUUUUUAAAUUGUGUGUGAGUGGUGUGUGUGAGUGUGUAUGUAUAUCCAUGUAUGUACAGGUGCCCACAGAGGUGAGAAGAGGGUCUCAGAUCCCCUGGAGCCAGAGUUAUUGGCUGUUGUGAGUGCUAGGAAUUGAAUUUGUGUCCUCUAGAAAUGCUCUGCUGAGCCAUCUCUCCAACCCUCAAAUACCUUUUAAAGUAACAGUAGAGCAAAUAUUACAAACAUAACCUUGUGGUGUUUUUUUUUUACACUUUUUCAUUCAAGUGGCUUCGGAGUAAGAGAACCAGGCUCUUAUCAUUUCAACGGUGUUGAAAAUUUUUAAGUUGUGAUUAAAAUGCCAAAUCUCAAAUAAAGCCCAUCAAUUAAGUAAAAGAGUAAACUUGUUUCAAGUUAAAAGCAGGGAAGAGCAGCGUCCUGGGUGGGCAGCAAGCCGUCUUUGCGGUUGUGAUGGGACUCUGGCCUCCUGACUCAGAGCUGUUGACAUAGGAACGGUACUUAACUGGGGAACUGACCGGCUCAGCAGUGCCGGAAUCACUUCUGUGACAUCAUCUGUGUCCCGCUGCCAGUAAAUGUUCUGAAAAUACUGUUCUGGAAAGGCUAUGUCUCAAUGAGAACAGUCAGUCUGCCAAAAUAAUUCUCACCACCUCCUGACUCCAAACAAGCUGGCCAUACAAACCAGAGUCAUGAAUGGCUGACUCUGCAAGGAGCCAGUCCUGAGAGUUCCUGACCAGGUGCCUCUGUGCCUGGGCAAACCCAAUGCUUUGAGACUUUGGGGGCGGGGGGUAAUACUGAAUGGCAACAAUGGGGAGAACGUGGGUAGGAAGCACACGGAAGGGGCCAGGGUUCCACAGUCCACUUUGAAGGUAAAAUGGAAGGUAAACCCCUGCCAGUGGUCCACGGACCUCUCACUGGACCACCUCCGGAGGGCAUCACACUCCUUCCUCUUCUCCAUCCACCUCCCCAUUUCCUCCUGCUUUACCUCCUCCCUUCUCUCUACUCUUAUUCCUCUCCCUCCCCCUCUUCUUGCUCCUUUCCCUCCCCGGCUUUUCUUCUUUCUCCUCCUCUUUUUCAAUCUCCCUUCUCCUUUGGAAGAAAACCAGAAGGCCAGAACACCACUUCCAUAAAGUUUUUGUUUGAAGCCUGGCAUGGUAUGCACUCCAGUAAUCCCAGCACUUGGGAGGCCGAGGCAAGAGGAUCCAGAAUACAAAUCCAGCCUGCUGGAUUCCCUGAUAUGCUCUCUCUCUCUCUCUCCCUCUCCUUCUCUCUCUCCCUCUCCCUCUCCCUCUCUCUCUCUCUCUCUCACACACACACACACACACACACACACACACACACACACACAAAGAUGUUUCAUAUGGAAGAUGAUGAUGAUAUUAGUACCCCAAAUCACAGGAUAAAGGCAAAAUUUUACCAAAUUUUACACUCCUAGUCCAGCAUUUGGAAGGCAGAGGCAGGCAGAGCUCUAAGUUCAAGGCCAGCCUGGUCUACAGAGUGAGUUCCAGGGCAGCCAGGGAUACCCAGAGAAACCCUGUCUUUGGAAACAAAGCAAAGCAAAACAAAAUUUGCACAGUAAAAAGACAGACUUUACUUCCAUAAUAUAAGGGAAUUCUCAUUACCUUACAGAAGAUCAAAAACUAGUUUGAAACUAUUCCUAGGACACCUCAGGCAGUCCUUUAAAUCCUAUAUUCUGGUUCAUUGAACCAUUACUUUUGCUUUAAAUGUUUCUUCAAAAUCCUAGCAUCAGUACAUUUUUCAUAUUCUGAAUUCUUUGUUUAAAAAAACAUCACCAUCUAUUCCUUGGAGGUUUCAUAGGAAAAAGAGCAUAUCCUAUGUAUUUUGGCAAGCUUUAUGCUGAUGUGGGC